AGUGCGUUGAAGACGGCGUUCGUAAGAAGGCGUCGUUCGACGCUUAUCUGUUUUCGAUUUAUAUAACUAGAAUAAACAAAGAAAAUAUGAUGUCGAUUAUAGAGACAUGUAAUUAAAGGUGUUGAAAGGAUUGAAAGAAGGAGAUAGAAGCAGUGUGGAACGACAAACAGAGUGUGUGUGAGAGAGAGAGAGCGCGAGAGAGGUAAGGAGAGAGAGAGAGAGGAAAAGAGGGAAGAAAUAAGAAAGUCGAAGCUAAAGCGAUAGUUAAAAAAAAACAAGAAAGAGAAUCUAAAUGGAAUAAUGACAAUGAACGUCCAACACGUCCUUAUUCCGUCUUCCGACUUUGAAACUCGCAGGAAUCCAACGUUUUCAAGACUUAUCUUCCGUUGUAGUUUCUGGUCCAAAUAUUGUGUUUUUGUUAUCAAUUUCUUCGUGUGGGUUCGUAUUUCCUAUUUACUGAAAGCAUCACUUGAUUACCCAUCUAUUUUAGACAUUUAACACGUUUUCUCUUUCACUCUAUAGACCUUUGAGAAAUGUGUAGAAUGCUUUCUCUAACAUUUUAAAGGAAAAAAAAAAAACAAAAUCUUAUCCUAGAUAUAUUAGUGUAUUAGCCUAUAUUUCAUUAUAUAUAAUUAUAUAAUAGCCUCAAAGUUCUCAUAUUAAGAGUAAAUAGAAUAAUUGAUGACUAUUAAUUAUCGUGCAUGUGUGUAGACCCUUUGGAAAUGCUUCAUUAAUUAGUCUUGAAUAAAAAAGUAGUUUUGAUAAAGCGGGGAACGUGUUUCAGAACCCUUAGAGUAUUUUUAACGAUUGAUUACGUACAGAGGUUAUUGUAAAUUGGAGUCACUUUGUCUAUUCAUAAUGAGUAAGGGUCAACAUUUUUUCAAUUAAAUCACUUAAUGCUUUGAAAUAAUAUUCCGCUUUUUUUGUAAGUAGACUAGAGAGUAAUAGCAAACAAAAUAUUCUAAUAUUACUUACAUAGACGGCUAAAGAAUAAUUUGCAUCUUAACAGGUGGGAGGAGUAUGUUUAAUGUCGGCAGGAGCUUGGGCUCAAUUGGAAAAAUCACGGUAUGACACAUUUAACUCGUUCACCAAUGAUCCAGCACUUAUUUUACUUCUAAUUGGGGUCAUAAUGUUUAUAAUGAGCGCGUUUGGUUGCGUAGGCUCAUUGAGAGAAAAUAUAUGCCUGCUGAAAACUUUUUGUUUAAUGACGGCUGCCGUUUUCGUUGGAGAAUUGACGGCUGGUUCAUUUACCAUUUCGCUAUCAAAUAGAUUGGAAGAAGAGUUGGUUGAAGAUUUGUACAAUGCGAUACAACUCUACGGUGCGGAAAAGAAAUUUACUGACGAUAUUGAUUAUGUGCAAAAGAGAUUCGAAUGUUGCGGUGCCAAAUCCUAUGACGACUGGCAAUUAAAUAAGCUAUAUAAUUGGUAAGUGUAGAAUUUUCUUCUUAUUAGGUAUAAAUAAGAGGAAAAAAAACACCCUUUUCUUUCUCAUAAAGACAACGAAUUUCUUUAAUCUUGUUAAAACUAUAAGAUUACCUCUUGGAGCUGAAUAAACAAACAUUGAUCAAUUAGGAGGAGAUUGAUAGAUUUAGCUUUAUGUGAAGGAACAAUAAAACCUUCAGCCUUGACACAAUCCUAUCGAUUUUACCAGAGGGAUGCGCUUAUAGGUACUUUUUUACUAUAGCAUUUUUUCUUUUUUAUUUUGAAUAAGUUAAACGAAAAACGAAUAAAUUUCCCUCUUAUUAUGUAUUUUCUCUCCUUUUUUUCUCAUAAAAAACUAGAAUAUGAGUAAUAUUAAAAAAAAAAUAGGACGAACUGUUAGCAACAGUGGAACGAACUGGAACGAAUUGUUUGUAUGCGCUCGUUAGCCACACUACACCCUAGGGAAAUGGUUUUACGUUAUCCUUUCCCUUUCUCUAUAAUUUGGUAAUUUUUGCCAACUCUUGAUAUUUUGAUGGCAAUUUAUUUCUUUUAAAAAAAUACUGACAACGUUUACAACUAUAAAUAGAUCUUUUCUAAACUAAGUACAGGUUCAUUUCAGCUAGAGGUAAUCAAUGAUUUAGCCCUUUUUUUCCCAAGGAUUCCUAACAAAUCUAUUUGUUUGCACUGAUAAAAAAUAUUUCAAUACUUCUUAAUGGUUUAGCAGGACAUAGACAAAUAUUUUUUUCAUUUGACGUUCGAUAUUAGAACGAUUCUUAUUAAUAAAAACGCUGCGAUAUACUGUAUAAUCAAGUUAUAUCAUAUUUGAACUAAUCUACUUUUCUUUAAUAAAAGUUCCGCAAACUUCCCGUCAAGAUGUGGAGUUCCAACUUCAUGUUGCAAGCUUGAUAACAGUCCUACUUGUGGCUACCAAACAAGGAUUAAUGGAGUACAAUAUGCUUCAUACUCCAUAAGAACAAAAGGCUGCGUUUAUUACCUCAUGAACGUGUUUAAAAAUAACUUAACUGUUAUCGGCUUUAUAGCCUUUAUUGUAGGGUUAUUGGAGAUAAUAGCUAUCAUUUUAGCUAUCAUGCAAUUAAAACAUCUAGAAAAAAUUCAAAGAGGAAGGUCUUCCGAAGAUGUACGAUUAAAGAUGACUGUUAGAAAGGUAUAUAAUUCUCAUGCCUCAUACGAUGAUGAACUUCGACGUUAAAGAAUAACUGCUUCUCAAACUGUAAACAAAUGUUAGGAAUUGUUAAUAUUAACUGUACAAAAAAAUAAAAAGAAAGAAAAGAAGAUAUUGGUGCCAUUUUUAGAAUGAAAUUUGAUUUUUUUUUUAACUCUCUUAUUUCAAUCUGUACAGAAAUAUAUACAAAUAAACAAUAUACAGA
rnacentral:misc_RNA from 1 species